rfam:Opisthocomus hoazin contig61966, whole genome shotgun sequence.
CAGAAAGUAGUUUAAUGUAAAAUACCGGCUUUGGGAGCUGGUGAUAGAGGUUGAAGUCCUUUUUCUCUGA